rnacentral:lncRNA from 1 species
UGACGGUAGUGAGGAAAAUCGCACAUAUUUUCACUUUUGAUUUUUUGGCAUUUUUGGACAUCAUUCACUAAUACCUUGAACCUCACAAAAUUUCAGAUCAUAAUAAUGUCUAAUUAUGUCACUAUGACGAUGACGUAAACAAGAAAAUACCUAGCAAAAGGAUUUUCUGUUUUCACGAAGUGACGGCCAAGUACGCGCUUAACAGCCGUCAAUUCGUGAAAACAUCGUUUGCUCUUUUCCUGCUUUUAAUAUUUUCACGAAGUGACGGUAGUGAAAAUUUCGCAGUUCGGAACAGUCACAGACCAUGUAAAGUUUCAGAUGCAGUAGAUACAAUUUUCACUUGUAUGAAGGAAGCACUGGGAAAGUACAUCUACUUUUCAAGAAUGCCACAGGCCAGAAACAAAUCCAGAUUGGAUACAGGGACCAACAUGCUGGUAAGAUGGGUCCUUGAUACUUCACUGAACACAGAGCUGCAGAAUGUGACCUGGCAAAGUGACCUAAGAGUGGGAGCGGUAUGGAACCGUUGAAGCAAUUCACCGAACACGUACAGUCAGAGCUGCAUGUGUGACUUGGCAUGGUGACCCUUAAAGUCUCCUGACGGCUCCGAUUGCGAUUCUGAUGAUGACCCAUUGUCUAUGCUUCUGAGCGAGUCAAAAGUCUAGAUGAAGGAUCUUCGCUGCUUCAACAACUAUUGCUUGGAUGACAUACGUGUGAAGAAACUUGAAGAACUGUUGUUGAAGAGCAUGCUUGAGAAACUAGAAUCAAUUACAUGAUCGUUUUGACAAUGCUUCAAUGUUUCAAUACCUCAAUCUCUCUUUUAUACUGUUUUAUUUU